rnacentral:rRNA from 1 species
AACCCCGUGAUCGGGUAUAGCCGCGGGAAACCCGCGGGUAAUCCCCGGCGACGCGUGGAGGGCAUCCUCCGUGGACCAAAGCUUCGGCGUCGCGGGACGGGCCGUCGUGCUUAGCUUGUUGGCGGGGUAAUGGCCCACCAAGGCUGUGAUGGCUACCGGGCGUGCGAGCGGCCCGGCACACUGGGACUGAGACACUGCCCAGACUCCUACGGGAGGCUGCAGUCGAGUCUUCGGCAAUGGGCGCAAGCCUGACCGAGCGACGCCGCGUGGAGGACGAAGGCCUUCGUUGUAAACUCCUGUCGAGGGGGAAGAAGGUCCGCGAGGGCUUGACUGAUCCCUGGAGAGCACGGGCUAAGUUCGUGCCAGCAGCCGCGGUAAGACGAACCGUGCGAACGUUAUUCAAUCACUGGGCUUAAAGCGCGUGUAGGUGGGGCGGCACGUCGGACGUUGAAAUCCCCCCUUAACCGGGGAACGGGCGCCGAUACGACCGUCCUGGAGGAACGUAGGGGGAGCUGGAUUCCGGUGGAGCGGUGAAAUGCGUUGAGAUCGGAAGGAACGCCCGUGGCGAAAGCGAGCCUGGACGUUUUCUGACACUGAGACGCGAAAGCCAGGGGAGCGAACGGGAUUAGAUACCGGUAGUCCUGGCCGUAAACGAUGGGCACUGGGUAGGGGGCUCGCCGAUGGGCUCCCU